GAUGAACGCUGGCGGCGUGCCUAAUACAUGCAAGUCGAGCGAAUGGAUUAAGAGCUUGCUCUUAUGAAGUUAGCGGCGGACGGGUGAGUAACACGUGGGUAACCUGCCCAUAAGACUGGGAUAACUCCGGGAAACCGGGGCUAAUACCGGAUAACAUUUUGGACCGCAUGGUUCGAAAUUGAAAGGCGGCUUCGGCUGUCACUUAUGGAUGGACCCGCGUCGCAUUAGCUAGUUGGUGAGGUAACGGCUCACCAAGGCAACGAUGCGUAGCCGACCUGAGAGGGUGAUCGGCCACGCUGGGACUGAGACACGGCCCAGACUCCGACGGGAGGGAGCAGGAGGGAAUCUUCCGCAAUGGACGAAAGUCUGACUGAGCAACGCCGCGUGAGUGAUGAAGGCUUUCGGGUCGUAAAACUCUGUUGUUAGGGAAGAACAAGUGCUAGUUGAAUAAGCUAGCACCUUGACGGUACCUAACCAGAAAGCCACGGCUAACUACGUGCCAGCAGCCGCGGUAA
rnacentral:rRNA from 1 species